GUUCUCAUAGCUCAACAGGAGAGAGCAUCGGUCUUCUAAACCGAGGGUUGUAGGUUCGAGUCCUACUGGGAACGCCA
rnacentral:tRNA from 1 species